rnacentral:rRNA from 1 species
UACAGCAAUCGCUCCAAUUAGGUUAUGCUUAGGGAGGAGCUUGCGUCACAUUAGUUAGUUGGCAGGGUAAAGGCCUACCAAGACUAUGAUGUGUAGCUGGACUGAGAGGUUGAACAGCCACAUUGGGACUGAGACACGGCCCAAACUCCUACGGGAGGCAGCAGUAGGGAAUUUUCGGCAAUGGAGGAAACUCUGACCGAGCAACGCCGCGUGAACGAUGAAGUAUUUCGGUAUGUAAAGUUCUUUUAUUGAAGAAGAAAAAAUAGUGGAAAAACUAUCUUGACGAUAUUCAAUGAAUAAGCCCCGGCAAACUAUGUGCCAGCAGCCGCGGUAAUACAUAGGGGGCGAGCGUUAUCCGGAAUUAUUGGGCGUAAAGGGUGCGUAGGCGGUUUAAUAAGUCUAUAGUUUAAUUUCAGUGCUUAACACUGUCCUGCUAUAGAAACUAUUAGACUAGAGUGAGAUAGAGGCAAGUGGAAUUCCAUGUGUAGCGGUAAAAUGCGUAAAUAUAUGGAGGAACACCAGAGGCGUAGGCGGCUUGCUGGGUCUUUACUGACGCUGAGGCACGAAAGCGUGGGGAGCAAACAGGAUUAGAUACCCUGGUAGUCCACGCCGUAAACGAUGAGUACUAAGUGUCGGGAUUACUCGGUACUGAAGUUAACACAUUAAGUACUCCGCCUGAGUAGUACGUACGCAAGUAUGAAACUUAAAGGAAUUGACAGGGACUCCGCACAAGCGGUGGAUCAUGUUGUUUAAUUCGAAGAUACACGAAAACAUAACAGGUUUAGACAUACUCUGCAAAGCUGUAGAAACACAGUAGGAGGGGGGGGGGAUGCAGAAG